UUUCUGGAAAAUCAGAAAGUACUCAUUAUCUCUGGUCUUUCCAGUGAAAGCAAGUUUAUCAAGACUGUGAGAUCAUAUAUUCAGAAAACGGCUUCAGAGACAAGCACAUCCAGCUCACAUCAAAUCCUACUCUCAGAAGUAGCAGGAAGAUACUCUUGGGCCAAAGGGAAGGAAGAACCAUUUCAUGUGGAUGCUGUCACGUUUACCUUUCUCCAAGAAGAGGAAGGCCGAGGAAACCAAAAUUUCUAUGCGAGGCAGGUUGCCUCUUUCAACUUCAGGAGUGGAAGACUAAAAUCCGUAUACCCUACAAAUAAAAUCCAUAUGAGAUGCCUGGCAGCUGGUGUUCCAGAUCUCAUCCAACACCACCGGUCUCAUGGGAUUACAGGAGAGAAGAGUUUGGAAAUGGCGUUAAGUGAAGAGAAGAGAGAUUGAAUGUGUUCACAAAUCCUGCCUGAACAGGUGUGGCUCUGAAAGGAAAGGAGGCGGGAUCUGGGUGUGGAUAAGGUGGUGUGACCCUGGGGCCAGACGUUGCAAGCUGUUUUCUGAUGGGCCGGUUCUGAAGGGCCUCUCCGGAAGGCAUCCUGGGGGAAUACUGGGGAGCUACUCCUCUAGCCCUCACAGCAAUUUAGCUUGAAUCAAAUUUAUGUUAAGUUCUUUUUAUUAACCAAAAAUAGUGACAGAUUUUGCAGUGGAAGCCCAGAUGAUACAAUGGCAUGUUGAGAUGUUGUUAGUUGUCUUAAUAAAAAGUGUUUAAUAUUCCUGGCACAUCUUUUCAAAAUCCCACAGAUACUAAUUCCACCCCCACUUUGCUUCUUUGCUUUACUUUAUUGGUCUUCUCUGAGCCUCUGUUUCCUCAUCUGUCAAAUGGUGAUAAUAAUACUUACUUUUCAGGAGAUGUUGGGAAGAUUUGAAGAUAUUACAGAUACCACCUAACUAGGGUUAAGACUAUAGGUACUCCACAAAUGAUAAUUAUUCAUAGUACAUAUUAUCAGCUUUCGAAGAAAGUGCCUCUGUCAGUAUGCA
ensembl:lincRNA